rnacentral:lncRNA from 1 species
AGCAUAUGUCAGAUUAAUGAAAUGUGAUGUAUCAAUGAUAGUAAAGAGGGGUGUUGGAUAGUUGAAGAAGUUGAAAUAAGUGAUAUAUUACGAGUUAUUAACCCAGAGCAUAGACUAAAUUGUAAAUUUGUGAAAAGUGAAUGGCUAAAUUGUAAAAAUUCAAAAGUUGAAGAGUUGAAUUAAAAACUUGAAAACUUGAACGACCAAAAUUGCAAUUUUACCAAUAGUAAGAAUGGCACUG